UAAGUUUUAUUUUUGGAACAGAUAGUCCUGUCACUUGCUCAAAAUACAUUCAGUCGAGCCCAAAUCCUGAAAUCCCUCGUUUCACCGCCCAUUGUUGAAGGUUUAUCUUUCCUCUUUGUGCCACUGCCGAUCUACCAUCUCAGUGCCGAUUUGUAGAAAGGUGAUUAUGAUCUACCCUCAAUUUCUUAAUUCUACCAAAAAAAUUGCAAAAGGGGGCAAAGCCCUAGCUAAUUCUUCACUUGCAAUUGGAAGGCAAUGAAGUUCCUAGGAAUCCGUGAGGGCUGCUAGAUGUUGACAUGGACCAAGUGGUUUCAAGGCGCCGUGCUCGCGAGGCGUUCAAUGUUAUUCAACUCUCUCUUGAUUAUUGCUUGUUCAGGGUAAUUUUCCAAACUCAAAGUUUGAAUCUUGCUUUGUGCAUUCGAUUUGGCAUGUUUAUUUUUGUUUUGGUAUUUCAAUUCGCUGAUUGCUGCGUGUUUUGGUGACAAAUUCUACUGAGAAUGCUUUUAUGCAUCAUUAUGNNNN
rnacentral:lncRNA from 1 species